rnacentral:rRNA from 1 species
GGGUUGUGAGGUUAAGCGACUAAGCGUACACGGUGGAUGCCCUGGCAGUCAGAGGCGAUGAAGGGCGUGCUAAUCUGCGAUAAGCGCCGGUAAGGUGAUAUGAACCGUUAUAACCGGCGAUACCCGAAUGGGGAAACCCAGUGUGACUCGUCACACUAUCAUUAACUGAAUCCAUAGGUUAAUGAGGCGAACCGGGGGAACUGAAACAUCUAAGUACCCCGAGGAAAAGAAAUCAACCGAGAUUCCCCCAGUAGCGGCGAGCGAACGGGGAGGAGCCCAGAGCCUGAAUCAGCAUGUGUGUUAGUGGAAGCGUCUGGAAAGGCGCGCGAUACAGGGUGAUAGCCCCGUACACAAAAGCGCAUGUGUUGUGAGCUCGAUGAGUAGGGCGGGACACGUGGUAUCCUGUCUGAAUAUGGGGGGACCAUCCUCCAA